ensembl:snoRNA SNORA74 Small nucleolar RNA SNORA74
CCCAGCUGUUGGCAACUGCCGAGGUUGACCUGUACCUGGGCAAGUGUUACACUGCUGGGAGAAGAGCAGCCACAGCUGGCUGGCAUUCUGGGCCUGGUUCAGGGCAAAUGUGUGUUACCUGUGCCAGUGUGGCAGUAUAAUUGCUUAUACUUU